rnacentral:rRNA from 1 species
GAUGAACGCUGGCGGCGUGCCUAAUACAUGCAAGUCGAGCGAACAGACGAGGAGCUUGCUCCUCUGACGUUAGCGGCGGACGGGUGAGUAACACGUGGAUAACCUACCUAUAAGACUGGGAUAACUUCGGGAAACCGGAGCUAAUACCGGAUAAUAUAUUGAACCGCAUGGUUCAAUAGUGAAAGACGGUUUUGCUGUCACUUAUAGAUGGAUCCGCGCCGCAUUAGCUAGUUGGUAAGGUAACGGCUUACCAAGGCAACGAUGCGUAGCCGACCUGAGAGGGUGAUCGGCCACACUGGAACUGAGACACGGUCCAGACUCCUACGGGAGCAGCAGUAGGGAAUCUUCCGCAAAGGGCGAAAGCCUGACGGAGCAACGCCGCGUGAGUGAUGAAGGUCUUCGGAUCGUAAAACUCUGUUAUUAGGGAAGAACAAAUGUGUAAGUAACUAUGCACGUCUUGACGGUACCUAAUCAGAAAGCCACGGCUAACUACGUG